AACGAACGCUGGCGGCAUGCCUAACACAUGCAAGUCGAACGAGACCUUCGGGUCUAGUGGCGCACGGGUGCGUAACGCGUGGGAACCUGCCCUUAGGUUCGGAAUACCUCCCCGAAAGGGGUGCUAAUACCGGUUAAUGUCUUCGGACCAAAGAUUUAUCGCCUUUGGAUGGGCCCGCGUUGGAUUAGCUAGUUGGUAGGGUAAAAGCCUACCAAGGCGACGAUCCAUAGCUGGUCUGAGAGGAUGAUCAGCCACACUGGGACUGAGACACGGCCCAGACUCCUACGGGAGGCAGCAGUGGGGAAUAUUGGACAAUGGGCGAAAGCCUGAUCCAGCAAUGCCGCGUGAGUGAUGAAGGCCGUAGGGUUGUAAAGCUCUUUUACCCGGGAUGAUAAUGACAGUACCGGGAGAAUAAGCUCCGGCUAACUCCGUG
rnacentral:rRNA from 1 species